rnacentral:rRNA from 1 species
CGUAGGUGAACCAGCGGAGGGAUCAUUACCGAGUUUACAACUCCCAAACCCAAUGUGAACCAUACCAAACUGUUGCCUCGGCGGGGUCACGCCCCGGGUGCGUCGCAGCCCCGGAACCAGGCGCCCGCCGGAGGGACCAACCAAACUCUUUACUGUAGUCCCCUCGCGGACGUUAUUUCUUACAGCUCUGAGCAAAAAAUUCAAAAUGAAUCAAAACUUUCAACAACGGAUCUCUUGGUUCUGGCAUCGAUGAAGAACGCAGCGAAAUGCGAUAAGUAAUGUGAAUUGCAGAAUUCAGUGAAUCAUCGAAUCUUUGAACGCACAUUGCGCCCGCCAGUAUUCUGGCGGGCAUGCCUGUCCGAGCGUCAUUUCAACCCUCGAACCCCUCCGGGGGGUCGGCGUUGGGGAUCGGGAACCCCUCAGACGGGAUCCCGGCCCCGAAAUACAGUGGCGGUCUCGCCGCAGCCUCUCCUGCGCAGUAGUUUGCACAACUCGCACCGGGAGCGCGGCGCGUCCACGUCCGUAAAACACCCAACUUUCUGAAAUGUUGACCUCGGAUCAGGUAGGAAUACCCGCUGAACUUAAGCAUAUCAAUAAGCGGAGGAAAAGAAACCAACAGGGAUUGCCCC